rnacentral:lncRNA from 1 species
UGUACACCUAUAGAAAUUUUUGUUUUCUCAUUUGAUGGUUGAAAAUUUUUUAAAGGGGCCCUACAGUAAUUUUUUAGUCAAGUAAGUAUUGUUUACAUUUUUUUGUUAUUGUCGCUACUUGACAUGCCCACCACAGUAUGCAUGCGUUUUCGGGUGUGCAAAAGUACUCAUACUCAUGGAUACUGCAUGUAAAAUCUGUGAAUCUCCGUGGAGUCUCCUACUUAAGGUGGCUUUCGACUAAAAAAUGACUGUAGGGUCCCUUUAAGUGAAAUUUAUAGGCCUAUUAGUAGUGUAGUCCUGGAAUGUUAACAAGGGGGGCUCUCCAAAGUGCCCUGAAUUGGCGGGAGGGGAGGGGAGGUACAAUAAUAUAUUUUGAAAAUUCUAAAUUUUGUUGGGGUUUAUUCUAGUAAUUCUGGGACAAACAUUUGACGUUAUUCUUAUUAAAAACAAGCCAAAGCGAGGGCCGAAGGCCCGAGGAAAUUUUUAAAUUUAGAGUCUCUGAAAUGCCAUUUCCUGGACUUUGGGGAAGAUUUGACAAAAUUCUGAUGGUCAGAAAACAGCGUUUUAGUAUGUCAAAAUUUACAAUUUAGUGGUACUAAAUGAUAUAAAGAUUACAAAAAUGCCGAUAUAAAGAUUACAAAAAUCAUUAUUGUGUUAAAUACUGAGUGAAAAUGAGAUGCAAUUCUAAAGAACAUUCUCGUUUACUGAUUUUUUUUGUGUGUGUUUUUAACGUUGUUAAGAUAAAUUUUCUCCCAGGACCGCAGGCUCAUAUUGUCAGUGGACUUGCGGUGUAAAAUUGAAACUUUGGCAUUUUUCAAAGAACUGGCCACCGUUUUUGUAAGAUGUCCGCUGUCAAUACGAACCCGCACGAGUGAGAGAAAUUUUGCUAAAUUUGACAAACGUGCAGCCCCCCAAGUCAACAUGAAAUUUCAACAAUGGGGCUCAGCCCCCUGAGUCCUCCCUCCAGUACACCACUUGGCCUAUCUUCUAAGCAAGGAAUUUUUUUUUGCACUAUGCUUGGAAAGAUUUUUUUUUUCUUAAUUUUUUUCUGGGAAUAAUUUUUUUUUUAGUUUUGCCUGCCCCCCCCCCCCCCCCCCNNNNNNNNNNNNNNNNNNNNUUUUUUUCCCCCCCCCCCCCCCCCCCCAUCACUUUUCUAAUGGUCCGUCCCUUAUGUAAACAUACAAUAUUUUUGUUGCAUGUGAUUAAACUCAAACUACACCUUAAGUAGCACGACUUUAAUAGAGUUUGUUUAGGAUGUUAAUAAUAUAGUAGGCUACGACUAAUUAAUAGAGUCUGUUUAGAGUAGGACUUUAUUAAUAGAGUUUGUUUAGGAUGUUAAUAAUAUAGCCAUGUUAUACGACUUUAAUAGAGUUUGUUUGUAUUUUCCAUUUAUGCAGUCUAGUCAUUUCAAUACUAUUCAUCUCUAUAAGGCCCGUUUUAUACGCCGAAUUUCGGUCGCGUCGAAUGCAAUUCAAACAAUAGAUAAUGAAGCUUAACGAGUUUUAUCAUCAGUCUCAUUAUCUAUUGUCUUAAUUGCAUUUGACGCGACCAAAAUUCGACGUAUACACCCUUUUCAUAAAUGGCUGCCUAUUAAAAAUUAUUUUAUGUGCAUAUAAAUUGGCCCAACUAGCCUCGUACUCAUGUUAAGAUUUCAAAGGAAUUUCUACCCAGAAACGAGGCUAGUUGGGCCAAUUUAUAUACACAUAAAAGAAUUUUUAAUCGGCAGCCAUUUAUGAAAUGGGUGUAUAAAACAGGCCUAAAUCUCUCGCUACUCCUCUAGCCAGGCAACAAGAGCUGGUGUUCAUAUAUCAACCCAAAAUAGGGAAGAUAUCACUGAUUUAAAAUUUCUUGGGCUUGGACCAAAAACAAACCAACUUCUCUGCCAAGAUAUUGAAAGACAUUUAAGACACCUCAGGGUGUAACUCGCGGGUAUGCUUUAACACGUCGUCAAUUGUUUGUAAAAUUCUUCACAUACGACUGAGAAAUUAGAAUGGUGUUCUUUGUGCUUUAAUGAAAAGGGUUUAUAUAUUGGUUAACAAUAAUACCCUUAAUAUAUAGCUAAUAGGUAAAUAGCUGCGUCAUUGAAAUGUUUGAAAUUCUG